rnacentral:rRNA from 1 species
UACGAGGGUGCAGCGUUAAUCGGAAUUACUGGGCGUAAAGCGUGCGUAGGUGGUUUGUUAAGCAAGAUGUGAAAGCCCUGGGCUCAACCUGGGAACUGCAUUUUGAACUGGCAAGCUAGAGUUUUGUAGAGGGUAGUGGAAUUUCCAGUGUAGCGGUGAAAUGCGUAGAGAUUGGAAGGAACAUCAGUGGCGAAGGCGGC